rnacentral:rRNA from 1 species
GAUGAACGCUGGCGGCGUGCCUAACACAUGCAAGUCGAACGGAGUUAUACAGAAGGAAGUUUUCGGAUGGAAUUCAGUAUAACUUAGUGGCGGACGGGUGAGUAACGCAUGAGCAACCUGCCUUUCAGAGGGGGAUAACAGUCGGAAACGACUGCUAAUACCGCAUGACGUACCGAUCGGGCAUCCGGAUGGUACCAAAGGAGAGAUCCGCUGAGAGAUGGGCUCAUGUAUGAUUAGCUAGUUGGUGAGGUAACGGCUCACCAAGGCUGCGAUCAUUAGCCAGACUGAGAGGUUGAACGGCCACAUUGGGACUGAGAUACGGCCCAGACUCC